AGGAUGAACGCUAGCUACAGGCUUAACACAUGCAAGUCGAGGGGCGAGCAUAUAGAUAGCUUGCUAUCUGUGAUGGCGACCGGCGCACGGGUGAGUAACGCGUAUCCAACCUGGCCCAUAGUAGGGAACAGCCCGGCGAAAGUCGGAUUAAUGCCCUAUGUGUUUGAAGCGGACAUCUAAUUCAAACCAAAGAUUCAUCGCUAUGGGAUGGGGAUGCGUCUGAUUAGGUUGUUGGCGGGGUAACGGCCCACCAAGCCGUCGAUCAGUAGGGGUUCUGAGAGGAAGGUCCCCCACACUGGUACUGAGACACGGACCAGACUCCUACGGGAGGCAGCAGUGAGGAAUAUUGGUCAAUGGGCGAGAGCCUGAACCAGCCAAGUAGCGUGCCAGGAAGACGGCCCUAUGGGUUGUAAACUGCUUUUAUACAGGGAUAAAGUCACCUACGCGUAGGUGUUUGUAGGUACUGUAUGAAUAAGGACCGGCUAAUUCCGUGCCAGCAGCAGC
rnacentral:rRNA from 1 species